CUGUAACUGACGCUGAGGCUCGAAAGCCAGGGGAGCGAACGGGAUUAGAUACCCCGGUAGUCCUGGCCGUAAACGAUGAAUGCUAGGUGUAGGAGGUAUCGACCCCUCCUGUGCCGGAGUCAACGCAAUAAGCAUUCCGCCUGGGGAGUACGGCCGCAAGGCUGAAACUCAAAGGAAUUGACGGGGGCCCGCACAAGCGGUGGAGUAUGUGGUUUAAUUCGACGCAACGCGAAGAACCUUACCAGGGCUUGACAUUGAGUGAAAAGGCUAGAGAUAGCCUCCUCUCUUCGGAGACACGAAAACAGGUGGUGCAUGGCUGUCGUCAGCCCGUGUCGUGAGAUGUUGGGUUAAGUCCCGCAACGAGCGUAACCCCUGUCCUCUGUUGCCAGCACGCAAAGGUGGGAACUCAGAGGAGACUGCCGCGGACAACGCGGAGGAAGGCGGGGAUGACGUCAAGUCAUCAUGCCCCUUAUGUCCUGGGCUACACACGUACUACAAUGGGACGGACAGAGAGCAGCGAAGGAGCGAUCCCGAGCGAACCCCAUAAACCGUCUCCCAGUUCGGAUUGCAGGCUGCAACCCGCCUGCAUGAAGUCGGAAU
rnacentral:rRNA from 1 species